rnacentral:rRNA from 1 species
UACAGAGGUCCCAAGCGUUGUUCGGAUUCAUUGGGCGUAAAGGGUGCGUAGGCGGCGCGGUAAGUCGGGUGUGAAAGCUCGGAGCUCAACUCCGAAAUGGCAUUGGAAACUACCUUGCUCGAGGGUUGGAGGGGGGACUGGAAUUCUCGGUGUAGCAGUGAAAUGCGUAGAUAUCGAGAGGAACACCAGUGGCGAAGGCGAGUCCCCUGGACAACUCCUGACACUGAGGCACGAAAGCUAGGGGAGCAAACAGG